rnacentral:rRNA from 1 species
CACGUAGGGUGCGAGCGUUGUCCGGAAUUAUUGGGCGUAAAGAGCUCGUAGGCGGUGUGUCGCGUCGGCCGUGAAAACCUGCAGCUUAACUGUGGGCGUGCGGUCGAUACGGGCAUCACUGGAGUUCGGUAGGGGAGUGGGGAAUUCCUAGUGUAGCGGUGAAAUGCGCAGAUAUUAGGAGGAACACCGGUGGCGAAGGCGCCACUCUGGGCCGAAACUGACGCUGAGGAGCGAAAGCAUGGGUAGCAAACAGG